AGUUUGAUCAUGGCUCAGAUUGAACGCUGGCGGCAGGCCUAACACAUGCAAGUCGAGCGGUAGAGAGAAGCUUGCUUCUCUUGAGAGCGGCGGACGGGUGAGUAAUGCCUAGGAAUCUGCCUGGUAGUGGGGGAUAACGUUCGGAAACGGACGCUAAUACCGCAUACGUCCUACGGGAGAAAGCAGGGGACCUUCGGGCCUUGCGCUAUCAGAUGAGCCUAGGUCGGAUUAGCUAGUUGGUGAGGUAAUGGCUCACCAAGGCGACGAUCCGUAACUGGUCUGAGAGGAUGAUCAGUCACACUGGAACUGAGACACGGUCCAGACUCCUACGGGAGGCAGCAGUGGGGAAUAUUGGACAAUGGGCGAAAGCCUGAUCCAGCCAUGCCGCGUGUGUGAAGAAGGUCUUCGGAUUGUAAAGCACUUUAAGUUGGGAGGAAGGGUUGUAGAUUAAUACUCUGCAAUUUUGACGUUACCGACAGAAUAAGCACCGGCUAACUCUGUGCCAGCAGCCGCGGUA
rnacentral:rRNA from 1 species